GGAUUGUGGCUCAGCGGUAGAGUGCUUGCCUAGCAGGUGUGACAUACUAGGUUCGAUUCUCAGCACCA
rnacentral:tRNA from 1 species